GAUGAACGCUGGCGGCGUGCUUAACACAUGCAAGUCGAACGGAAAGGCCACAGCUUGCUGUGGUACUCGAGUGGCGAACGGGUGAGUAACACGUGGGUGAUCUGCCCUGUACUUCGGGAUAAGCUUGGAAACUGGGUCUAAUACCGGAUAGGAAUCACAUGUGGGUGUGUGGUUGGAAAGCUUUUGCGGUAUGGGAUGAGCUCGCGGCCUAUCAGCUUGUUGGUGGGGUAAUGGCCUACCAAGGCGUCGACGGGUAGCCGGCCUGAGAGGGUGUACGGCCACAUUGGGACUGAGAUACGGCCCAGACUCCUACGGGAGGCAGCAGUGGGGAAUAUUGCACAAUGGGCGCAAGCCUGAUGCAGCGACGCCGCGUGGGGGAUGACGGCCUUCGGGUUGUAAACUCCUUUCGUCAGGGACGAAGCGAAAGUGACGGUACCUGGAUAAGAAGCACCGGCUAACUACGU
rnacentral:rRNA from 1 species